AUAAAUAAGUCUUUAUGCUUAUGUGUGAUCGUUUUUUGAAUUCUCAAAGCUCAAUAGACUUUUUCGGGUUUCCCGAAAGGGAAAUCUCUCUCCUAUAAGCAUGUAAGUUACUCAUCUUUAUCUAAAUUAUGUUUCUGCUAGAUAUUACCCCUGUUUAUUUUAAAAAAAUUUGUUAUUCUGUAUAGUUUUAUGUUUCAUGUUCAUAUGUUCAAUUAUUAGAUAUCACUCUUGGUAUAUGGUUAGCUUCCCAAUCUUAACAAUUAUGAUGGAUUAACCUUUAAAUUCCUAGGAGAAUCUGGUUAAGUAAAACCCAAAAACAAUUAAGAAGGGUAUAAAUGUUUAACCAUGGCCGGGAUGAGGUUAAAGAAAUAAGAGUUAAGAAAAGUGUUAAAAUCUUUAACAGAUUGGGAAGAAGAGAUGAACAGAGUGGAUUAAAAAAAGUAGUAAAGUUCAUAAUUUAGAUAAUAUGGUAACUAUACAAGUCUAGAGAAUAAGAGAGUACCGAGUAAGAUUUUCACAACAUAAGAGUUUAAUCACAAAAAAUAAUUUUAUUGUUAAUGUCCAAUAAUUGUAAUAACUAUACAAAUCCAGAAAGUUUUGCUAGGAGCCUUACUCAAAGUUUGGAAGAAUUUAUAUUAGACAUAGAAACCGGAUUUUAUUCAAUAAUAGAUUUGGCCGUACAUUUUAUAUAUCUACAAUACAAUAGUAAUAUUUGUUCGAAUAUAUAUAGAAAACAACUGCAUUUGAUAUUGUUAAUAUUAUCAUACCAUCAAUCAUAUCAUCUAUACCAUCUAAAAAAACAAUUUUAAUUUUUUUAACCCUAACUUUUUAGACAACUUUAACUGACUUUAACUUUUUAACUCCUUUCAUGUCGUUUCAUUUAAACGCAUUUCAGUCCGGAACAAAAAUCCAUCCAUGAUUUCGGAAUCCUUACUCAUACGUCCUCCUUCGCAUUAAUGCAGCAAUGUGAUGAAAUUUCUUGUGUACUUUCAUGACACAUGACUCAAAUGUCGAUGUAAUGCAUACCUAUUACCUAUAUUGGGAAAUCUUACUUAUUAUUGUACCUUGAAUAUCCUUCCAACCAAGGACCCGUUUGGUCAUGAAUUUUGUCAAAACAAAUUUGGAAUUUAUUUGGCAAAUUUAUAUUUAGCCAUAAAUUUUGUCCACAUUUUGGCAAAAUCACAAAUCCCAAAAUCACUCCAAUUGCUGAUUUUGGGCCAAAAUUCCAAAACUUGGGAAUUAUAUACAUAUUUUUUCAAAAUAAAGUUGGGAAAUAUAUUUUGAAAACGUAUGUCCAAACACAUUUUCAUCUUCAAACUAAACUUCACCCAAAUUAGAUUUUUUAAAACAAAUUUGGGAAUCUAUGGCCAAACGCUAGCUAAGAAAGGAGAAUAAGAAAUCAAUAGCUUUUGCACAUAUCCAUCACUUAAAGUAUAGGGGAAGUGCACAGUUAGUUACUAAUUAGAGAUGUCAUUGCUCUUUAGCCAUCGUUUAAAAUGUAUUUACUCUUUAGUCAGUGCCUAAUAAAUUUUUGUCCGCCCGGACGAAAAUAUCCUUGUGCUAGACUUGGGUGUUGUGUAAAUAUUAAGGACAUGGUGUCCUUAACUUCAUGAAUGAUGUGUAAAUAUUAAGGACAAAAUGUCAUAUUAUGUCCUUAACUUCAUGUGUGUGGUGUAAAUGUUAAGGACAUAAUGUCUUUAACUUGUAUUUGCACCUUUUGUUGGUAAAUUUUAGGACCUCAUAUCCUUAACUUUAUAUAUGCAGUGUAAAUGUUAGCGACAAAGUUAGGGAUGACAAAUGGGACGAUGCGGGUACAUGGCUGUGCGAGUUUAUGACUAUGCGGGAUAGGGCGGGUUUAAAGCUAUGUGGGGCGGGCGGGUACGGGGUGGGUUGAAAUAUUUUUUAUAAAAACUGAUGCGGGGCGGGUUGCGGAUCUAUAUGGGUUUAUGCGGGCGUAAGAAUUUUUCUUCUUAUUUUGAGUUCCAUGUGACCACCAUGUGACCUAUAAAACUUGCUUCUAGACAAAUUGCUAAUCCACUUUGGAAAAAGAAAAUAUAAACAAUUUGUUUAUUAUAUUAAUAAUAAUUUUAUGAUAUAGUUCAUUAAAGAUAAUACGUUAAUACUACUUAACGAUAUUUUAAUAAUCUGAAAAUAAUAUUUUCACAAAAACUAAAAAAUAAUAGUACAAUAACACUAUUUUACAAUGAUUACACGCUAUGUCAUCAUACAUUGCUUCAUUUGGAUUCUUUUCAUUCCAAAUCACAAUGCUAGAAUCAAUACUGUUUUUCUUUUUUAUUGAGAUUCAGCACUUAAGAAACAAAAAUAAUUAAAUUUUUUGAUUGAUUAAGUUGAAAAUUCCAGCCAAAAUAUAAAAAGGAAUUAAGUAAACAAAAUCGGAAAAAAAAUAUUGGUGCAGGGCGGGUGGAUGCGGGUGUAUGUGGGGGCGGGUGGACGCGGGUGAAAAUACUACGCGGGGUGGGGCGGGGCGUGUUGAGAUCUUCGCGGGUUUAUGCGGGUUUCCCCCGCAACCGCACCGCACCACACCGCUUGUCAUCCCUAGAUAUAGUGUCCUUAACUUUAUGAGUGUUGUGUAAAUAUUAAAGGCAUGGUGUCCUUAACUUCAUGAAUGCUCUGUAAAUAUUAAGGACAAAGUGUCAUGUCAAGUCUUUAACUUCAUAUGUGCAGUGUAAUUGUUAAGGACAUGGUAUCCUUAACUUCAUGUGUGCAGUGUAAAUGUUAAGGACAACACGCAGCACUCGUGAAGAAAGAGUAAAAAUAUCUUUUUAUAUUAAUUUUAAUAAAGUAGUAACUAUUUUUGCUUAACAUUAAAAAUACUGAAUAAAAACUAAAUAUCAUAUCAAGAAGUGGCUAUCCCACGCUAUUUCUGCUAAAAUAAACAGACGUGUGGACUUAUCGCUUUCCAACAUUAUUAUAGUGGAUAAACAAUCUUUAUUCUAAUCGGAUUCCUCAUUCCUUCUAUGUAAUACAAAGUCAAUGGGCACAAUUAUAAUGACAAAUUAACAAUAAAAGUAUCAUUCAAAGAAUCGAAAGUUACUCCUUUUCUAUUGGCGCCAACAGAUUUAGGCAUAAGUUAUUGCCUAUAGGAUAAAAAAGAAAAUGCAACUAGUACUAACAAAAAUCCGAUAUAUUUCGCCCGUACUUGUAGGUGAGAAAUUUUUCAUUUUGUCAUUUAAUUUAAUUGCUCCCUUUUUAUUUCCUAGUGUAACGCGAAUAUGGUUUAACGUAAUAGGCAAGGCCGGGUCUAAGGUUAUCACAAGUAAGGCUUGUGUCUUACGUUCCAAAAUUUGGGGACCCCAUUUUUCAGAAAUAAUAAGUUAACAAGUUUUUUUAAAAAAGAUAAUAAUAUUUAGUACUUUUAAUAAUUAAAUUGAGUUUUCUAUAAUAGUUGCAUCAAAGAAAAUAAAUUUUUCAAAAUUAUAUUUGCUAAAAUUUAACCUAAAAUCAACAAUAUCUCAAAAAAGAUCAAAUAGGUUGGCUAUACUAUCAAUUAAAAAGAGAAUUAUUAGAGAAAAUCGAUCAUAAAAAAUUAUUAACAACUUUGCAUCUCAAAAAGCUAAAAAAGUAAUUCAAAUAAAAAUAUAUAUCAUAAUAUUCUUUUAAAAAUUUAGGCCUUAGAACUUUGCACACAAUAUUUGUCCUAUUACUUUAAUAAAAAAAAGGGCAGCCCGUUGUACUAAGCUCCCGCUAUGCACGUAUCACGACCCAAUUUUCUAACCCGGUCGUGAUGGCGCCUCUCGUGAAGACAAGGCCAGCCAACUAACCCAAAUCGUAUCUUUAACAAUUAUUAAAUAU
rnacentral:lncRNA from 1 species